UUACAAAGGUGAAUCUAAUGUUUCUCUUCAUGUGGGGAGGCUUGUGUAAGAUUAUACAAAUAGAUGUAGACAAGUGAUAAUGAAGUAAAAUUAGAUUAUAUUUGGAGCACCAAAGUAUUCCUUUUAAAAAUUUCAAUUGCUGGUUCAGUAUUGAAUAUAAGCCUUUAUUUCGUGUUCCUUCUAGUUAAGCCUUUUCAAGUUUGUAUUAGAGGAAGCUAUGGGAUAAUGGGAAAUUAAUGUUAUGAAGUGGGGCUAAUCCAUGUAUCUUUGUGACAAUUUAGGCAAGCUUACUCCUGCUCAAACCCUUGAUCUAGUGUCUGCAAGUAAUUAUGUUAUGAUCGACAUUCGAUCAGAGAAGGACAAGGACAAGGCUGGCAUCCCCAGACUUCCCUCAAAUGCUAAGAACAAGAUGAUUGCAAUUCCGUGAGUAUAAAUCUGUUUGCUUCAGUUCAUUCAUUUCUCUUUUGUUACAAAACUGAAAAGUCAAGAAUAUUAAGACUAUUACUGCAUGAUAAUUUAGAAGAUAAGAAGAUAUAUAUGAUGACAGGGACCAUUUAGCAGACAGCAUGUGACUUUUCUACACCUUUCUUUUCUUAGAAAUAUUACUAUCAUCUUUAUAGUAAAAAAUUUUUAAAAGAUGCAAAAGUCAUUGUCAAUUGAUUCUAAUCUCCCUAACAAGACAAGCAGUUGGACUGGGCAUUCUAGAAAUCCUUCUGAGAUUAAGCAAUGCAUUAGAAGGUUCAGAAUCCUCCAUGGAUGUGUGCAACCUGUAAUUGUUGACUUAUGUUGUACCUUCUUUUAUGGUUAUUAUUACAGUUUAGAUCAGCAUUU
rnacentral:misc_RNA from 1 species